UACAGAGGUCUCAAGCGUUGUUCGGAUUCAUUGGGCGUAAAGGGUGCGUAGGCGGCGCGGUAAGUCGGGUGUGAAAUCUCGGAGCUUAACUCCGAAACUGCAUUCGAUACUGCCGUGCGUGAGGACUGGAGAGGAGACUGGAAUUUACGGUGUAGCGGUGAAAUGCGUAGAUAUCGUAAGGAAGACCAGUGGCGAAGGCGGGUCUCUGGACAGUUCCUGACGCUGAGGCACGAAGGCCAGGGGGAGCAAACGGG
rnacentral:rRNA from 1 species